AAAUCUCCUAAAAAAUAUAACUGCCUUAUAAGUUAUAAAGUCUUUCAUAUUCUUUUAUUUUUCUCACCUCACUCCUUCUCUCACACACCAUCUCUUUCCUAUUCUAUCUCUCUCUCUCUUGUCAUCUCAGGUACUCUCUCUCUCUCUCUAAAUAUAAACCCUAAUUUCACACACAUCACUCUCUUCAGUUUUUCACUUCACACUGCAUCUUUUUCCCCUUAUACAUUCCAAUCAUUAUCAAUUCCAUUUUCAAAUUCCUCAAAUGCAUGUUAUCGACCCGAUCACGAUUUCGUUGUCGUUGUUUUCUUGCAGGGAAAGUUGAGGGGGAAGAUAUAA